rnacentral:rRNA from 1 species
CCUACGGGAGGCUGCAGUGGGGAAUUUUGGACAAUGGGCGCAAGCCUGAUCCAGCCAUUCCGCGUGAGUGAAGAAGGCCUUCGGGUUGUAAAGCUCUUUCGCAAGGGAAGAAAACUUAUCCUCUAACAUAGGAUGAGGUUGACGGUACCUUGAUAAGAAGCACCGGCUAACUACGUGCCCGCAGCCGCGGUAAUACGUAGGGUACUACCGUUAAUCAGGCGUACUGAGGGUAAUUUGUAAGUCAGAUGUGAAAUCCCCGAGCUCAACUUGGGAACUGCGUUUGAAACUACAAGACUAGAGUAGGUCAGAGGGGGGUAGAAUUCCACGUGUAGCAGUGAAAUGCGUAGAGAUGUGGAGGAAUAUCAAUGGCGAAGGCAGCCCCCUGGGAUCAUAUUGACGCUCAUGCACGAAAGCGUGGGGAGCAAACAGGAUUAGAUACCCCAGUAGUC